GAGUCGAAAACGAUAGCGACGCGAUCGACAGACGACGGACGAGGUCGUAUCGUACGGGCGCCGGUGGUACGCGUACACUGACUGAACGCGACGGGGGCGGCGCACGCCCCGCGAGCUUGAAACGCGCGCGCGGCCCGAUCCCUCCCCUCCGCGCGCACCCGCCCAUCAUCGCCGCCGACGCCGCAGCCAAUUGGCAAAAACCACCGCCGCCGUCGCCACAGGUAUCGCCGGACUCGCCGCGCGCGUGCGACGGCGGAUAAACGCGCGCGGCAUUCGAACUCCACGAACGUUCGGGACGAACACGCUCCGACGCCGCCAAUACCGAUGAAGAUCGCUCGAACGCCGCCGCCAUCGAUGCCACCGAUGCCGCCGACGACGAUUCCUCGCCACCGCUGUUGUACCGUCAAGGAUACAAAUGAAGAUCAACAUUGGAAUCAUUAUGUGGGAACUAAUUGUACAUCAGAGGCAUCUAAAUCUUGGGAAUAAAUCUUAUUAAAAUCUUUCAACAUUACUACAACUUACAAGAUACAUUUAACACUAAACUGCUAAUACUUUUUAGUACAAUUAUAUAGAUACUAAUAAAUAAUAUCAAAGUACAAAAAUAAUCAUUAUAACUAUUAAAAAUUCAUUAUGUAUUUUUGUACAAUAAAUGAACAUAAGAUCAUUUAAAACA